UCUGCCUCCCUGAGAUCUGGGACUAAAGGUGUGCAGCUAGGUUUUCUUUUCUAAGUGAUGAGGAUUCUGUCAUUUUUGCAAAUGAACUUAAAACAACACCUUUUGGGGAAAAUUUCAUUAAAUAUCAAAACACAAAAUGUAACAGAAACUUUAGAUCAAACAUCUAAAAAUAAAAGUUUGGACUCAGAAGAAACUUAAAAAAAAACAAAUACAUAUCACUCACAUUAUGGGCUCAAGCUCAGUGGCAGAAUACCUGCCUAGUAUUCAUUCAUGAGGCCCGACUUUAAUUCCAGCACCACACAAAAUCCCAUACAUACAUAAAUACAUACGUACGUUUUAAUUUACCAAGAAAACUCUGAAGUAUUUUUCAGAGGUCAACACUUUGUUCCUGACCCGAAAGCCCCCGCACUACCCCCAGGGUGAGUCUGACAGCAACUUCCAUACAUUUGAGCAGCAUUCAAGCCAACGUCCACAGCUGAAGCCAGGAGUUUUCAGAACAGCAUAAAUGUGAUUGGUGCGGCACCGCUGUAAGAAUGUGAGGGGUGGAUAACAGUCACAGUAAGUUCUUACAGGGGACAUCAACCCUGACAAACAGGAUCGUCUCCCGUGAAAUCAAUUUGCUUCAGUUAAGCAAUGGGAAGCGUAUUAAUAUAAGGCCAGGUAUUACUUACAUUCCUGGAGGUUUCACAAUUGACUGAAAUAGUUGUAAGUUCCAAAUAAGUAACUAAAGGUAAAGCUGCCCUUAAGUCAGAAGGGCCACCUUCUCCCACUAAUAAAGAGAUGACAAGCAAUUCUCUCAUACAUUCCUACUUUAUUAAGGUAAACCAACAUGGCAUUUAUAUAGCAAAGCAUUUCAGUUUUCAGAGCUGUUUAGGUUAUUUUUUCCGUAGUAAGUUAAUUUAGGCACAUCGGUUUGUAUUUUAGAAAAAAAAAAAAA